rnacentral:rRNA from 1 species
GAUGAACGCUAGCGAGACGCUUAACACAUGCAAGUCGAAUGCUGAUUUAUCAGCAUGGCAGACGGGUGAGUAACACGUGCUUAAUUUGCCCCGGAGUGGGGGACAACAUCGGAAACGGUGAUAAUCCCGCAUACGUUCCACAAAAUGAAAAUAUGUGGAAGAAAGAUUUAUCGCUCUGGGAGGAGGGCGCGUCUGACUAGUUAGUUGGUGAGGUAAUGGCUCACCAAGACGAUGAUCAGUAGCUGGUCUGAGAGGACGAACAGCCACAAUGGGACUGAGACAAGGCCCAUACCCCUAGGGGGGCAGCAGUGGGGAAUCUUGCGCAAUGGACGAAAGUCUGACGCAGCGAUCUCGCGUGAAGGAUGAAGCCUUUGCGGAAGUGUAAACUUCUUUUCUGGGAGAAAACAACUGAUGGUAUCUCAGGAAUAAGGGACGGCUAACUACGUGCCAGCAGCCG